UACAGAGGGUGCUAGCGUUAAUCGGAAUUACUGGGCGUAAAGGGCGCGUAGGCGGAUACUUAAGUUGGAUGUGAAAUCCCUGGGCUUAACCUAGGAACUGCAUCCAAGACUGGAUAUCUAGAGUGCGGUAGAGGGUAGUGGAAUUUCCGGUGUAGCGGUGAAAUGCGUAGAUAUCGGAAGGAACACCAGUGGCGAAGGCGGCUACCUGGACUGACACUGACGCUGAGGCGCGAGAGCGUGGGGAGCAAACAGG
rnacentral:rRNA from 1 species